rnacentral:rRNA from 1 species
UACAGAGGGGGCAAGCGUUUAUUCGGAAUUAUUGGGCGUAAAGGGCGCGUAGGCGGCUUGGCAAGUGGAUGGUGAAAUCCCUCGGCUUAACCGAGGAACUGCCGUCCAAACUGCUUUGCUUGAGACCGGGAGAGGUGAGUGGAAUUCCCAGUGUAGCGGUGAAAUGCGUAGAUAUUGGGAGGAACACCAGUGGCGAAGGCGGCUCUCUGGGACGGUACUGACGCUGAGACGCGAAAGCGUGGGGAGCGAACGAGG